AUUCAGACCAAGCUGGUGCAAAGCAGAUGAAGAUGACUGGCCCAGCUCAGAGCAGGGAAGUGGUGGAGCCACCAUUCCUUGGAGCCAUGCAGACCUUCCCAGAAAGGAGUGAAGGACUGUUCUCAUCAUCCAGCAAGGAAGGGCACCUCUCCACCUGCAGCACCAUGUCCCUGUGGGUGUCUCACACUGGCAGCAGGCUGAGAACAGCACUGUCACACUGCUGUUACAUGGCACUGAAGAAUGUCUCUGACUUGUAAACGUUCUUUAAUGUAACACCAAAUAAGACAAUAAAAUCUUACAGGGAAUGUGGUGCAAAAGA